rnacentral:rRNA from 1 species
CAGUAGCCGCGGUAAUACGAAGGGGGCUAGCGUUGCUCGGAAUGACUGGGCGUAAAGGGCGCGUAGGCGGAUGGCUUUGUCGGGCGUGAAAUUCCAGGGCUUAACCUUGGGGCUGCGUUCGAGACGGGUUGUCUUGAGUAUGGAAGAGGGUCGUGGAAUUCCCAGUGUAGAGGUGAAAUUCGUAGAUAUUGGGAAGAACACCGGUGGCGAAGGCGGCGACCUGGUCCAUUACUGACGCUGAGGCGCGAAAGCGUGGGGAGCAAACAGGAUUAGAUACCCCCGUAGUCCCUGUCUCUUAUAC